rnacentral:tRNA from 1 species
GCUGAUGUAGCUCAGGGGUAGAGCACUUCCUUGGUAAGGAAGAGGUCAUGGGUUCAAUUCCCAUCAUCAGCU